CAGGAAAUAAUUUAAUAAAAAUGUUAAUUUUGGAUAUUAAUUUUGGAAUUUUCCUUUCCUGA
rnacentral:tRNA from 1 species